GCGAACGCUGGCGGCAGGCUUAACACAUGCAAGUCGAACGGGCACCUCGGUGCUAGUGGCAGACGGGUGAGUAACGCGUGGGAACGUGCCUUUCGGUUCGGAAUAAUCCAGGGAAACUUGGACUAAUACCGGAUACGCCCUUCGGGGGAAAGAUUUAUCGCCGAAAGAUCGGCCCGCGUCUGAUUAGCUAGUUGGUGAGGUAAAGGCUCACCAAGGCGACGAUCAGUAGCUGGUCUGAGAGGAUGAUCAGCCACAUUGGGACUGAGACACGGCCCAAACUCCUACGGGAGGCAGCAGUGGGGAAUAUUGGACAAUGGGCGCAAGCCUGAUCCAGCCAUGCCGCGUGAGUGAUGAAGGCCUUAGGGUUGUAAAGCUCUUUUGUCCGGGAAGAUAAUGACUGUACCGGAAGAAUAAGCCCCGGCUAACUUCGUGCCAGCAGCCGCGGUAAUACGAAGGGGGCUAGCGUUGCUCGGAAUCACUGGGCGUAAAGGGCGCGUAGGCGGACUUUUAAGUCGGAGGUGAAAGCCCAGGGCUCAACCCUGGAAUUGCCUUCGAUACUGGGAGUCUUGAGUUCGGAAGAGGUUGGUGGAACUGCGAGUGUAGAGGUGAAAUUCGUAGAUAUUCGCAAGAACACCGGUGGCGAAGGCGGCCAACGGUCCGAAACUG
rnacentral:rRNA from 1 species